rnacentral:misc_RNA from 1 species
GGAAGUAAAAGUCAUAACAAGGUUUCCGUAGGUGAACCUGCGGAAGGAUCAUUACAGAGUUCAUGCCCUCACGGGUAGAUCUCCCACCCUUGAAUAUUUAUACCUUAGUUGCUUUGGCAGGCCGUGGAAACACCAUGGGCCCCGGCUUAUGCGUGCCUGCCAGAGGAAACAAACUCUGUUUUUAGUGAUGUCUGAGUACUAUAUAAUAGUUAAAACUUUCAACAACGGAUCUCUUGGUUCUG